rnacentral:rRNA from 1 species
CGGUCUCUAUCUAUCGUGGGCGUGGGAGUUUUGAGUGGUGCCGUCACUAGUACGAGAGGACCGUGAUGGACAGACCUCCGGUUUACCAGUUGUGCCGCCAGGCGCACCGCUGGGUAUCUGAGUCUGGAUUGGAUAAGCGCUGAAAGCAUCUAAGUGCGAAGCCAGCCGCAAGAUGAGAACUCCAUUGAGGGUCGUCA